CAGUAACGGCGAGUGAAGCGGCAACAGCUCAAAUUUGAAAUCUGGCUCCUUCGGGGUCCGAAUUGUAAUUUGUAGAGAGUGCUUCGGGCGAGACCUCGGUCUAAGUCCAUUGGAACAUGGUGUCAUAGAGGGUGAGAAUCCCGUAUGCGACCGUGGCUCGAGCCCAUGUGAAGCCUCUUCGACGAGUCGAGUUGUUUGGGAAUGCAGCUCAAAAUGGGUGGUAAAUUUCAUCUAAAGCUAAAUACUGGCUGGAGACCGAUAGCGCACAAGUAGAGUGAUCGAAAGAUGAAAAGCACUUUGGAAAGAGAGUCAAACAGUACGUGAAAUUGUUGAAAGGGAAGCGCUUGCAACCAGACCUGCCCGUAGGCGAUCAGCCGCUGUUCUCAGCGGUGUACUCGCUCUGCGAUCAGGCCAGCAUCGGUUUCGGCGGUCGGAUAAAGGCCUUGGGAAUGUAGCUUCCCUCCGGGGGAGUCUUAUAGCCCUCGGUGCAAUGCGGCCAGCCGGGACCGAGGACCGCGCUUCGGCUAGGAUGCUGGCGUAAUGGUUGUAAGCGACCCGUCUUGAAACACGGACCAAGGAGUCUAACAUCUAUGCGAGUGUUUGGGUGUCAAACCCAUACGCGGAAUGAAAGUGAACGGAGGUGAGAACCCUUAAGGGCGCAUCAUCGACCGAUCCAGAUGUCUUCGGAUGGAUUUGAGUAUGAGCAUAGCUGUUGGGACCCGAAAGAUGGUGAACUAUGCCUGAAUAGGGUGAAGCCAGAGGAAACUCUGGUGGAGGCUCGCAGCGGUUCUGACGUGCAAAUCGAUCGUCAAAUUUGGGUAUAGGGGCGAAAGACUAAUC
rnacentral:rRNA from 1 species